CACCCCCCAUCUCUGGAAAUGAGAGACCAGCGUUUCAAAGCCGCAAAAGCCGCGACAGAUUUGGCGGGGAGAUGAAUGCAAGAGUGAAAUCUAGGGCGAAUGAACAUCUGGCCUCUUUGGGGUGAAAGGCGUAUCGCACCAGAACCCAUUUUUUGGGGUCAGACUGCAACAUGAAGCUCCGUGCACGGACCCCCCAGGGUGCAGACCAUGACGGAUGUGUUUAGGUGCUGUGACAGCGUGAGGCCCGCCGCCUCCCACACUGACAACAUCACACGCGUUAAGUGACCAUUCGCUGCCUGAUCAUCCCCCCCUCCCCCCC
ensembl:lncRNA